rnacentral:rRNA from 1 species
GUGCCAGCAGCCGCGGUAAUACGUAGGGCGCAAGCGUUGUCCGGAAUUAUUGGGCGUAAAGAGCUCGUAGGUGGCUUGUCACGUCGGGUGUGAAAGCUUGGGGCUUAACUCCAGGUCUGCAUUCGAUACGGGCUGGCUAGAGGUAGGUAGGGGAGAACGGAAUUCCUGGUGUAGCGGUGAAAUGCGCAGAUAUCAGGAGGAACACCGGUGGCGAAGGCGGUUCUCUGGGCCUUACCUGACGCUGAGGAGCGAAAGCGUGGGGAGCGAACAGGAUUAGAUACCCCUGUAGUCC